rnacentral:rRNA from 1 species
UUUCCUACGGGUGGCUGCAGUGAGGAAUAUUGCGCAAUGGGGGCAACCCUGACGCAGCGACGCCGCGUGAGUGAGGAAGGCCUUCGGGUCGUAAAGCUCUGUCAAAGGGAAAGAAGUGCAUGGUGGCUAAUACCUGCCAUGUUUGACGGUACCCUUAAAGGAAGCACCGGCUAACUCCGUGCCAGCAGCCGCGGUAAUACGGAGGGUGCAAGCGUUGUUCGGAAUCACUGGGCGUAAAGGGCGCGUAGGCGGGUUGAUAAGUCAGAUGUGAAAGCCCACGGCUUAACUGUGGAAGUGCAUUUGAAACUGUCAGACUUGAGUAUCAGAGGGGAAAGUGGAAUUCCCGGUGUAGAGGUGAAAUUCGUAGAUAUCGGGAGGAAUACCGGUGGCGAAGGCGACUUUCUGGCUGAAUACUGACGCUGAGGCGCGAAAGCGUGGGGAGCAAACAGGAUUAGAUACCCUAGUAGUCAG